GAGCGUAUAGCUCAACUGGCAGAGUGCAUGCUUAGCAUGCACGAGGUCUGGGUUCAAUCCCCAGUGCCUCCU
rnacentral:tRNA from 1 species